rnacentral:tRNA from 1 species
GGGCUGGUCGUCCAACGGGAAGACGUUGGUUUUGCACGCCAAAGAUCGGGGUUCGAUUCCCCGCCAGUCCACGA